AGAGUUUGAUCCUGGCUCAGGAUGAAUUCUGGCGGCGUGCUUAACACAUGCAAGUCGAACGGAGUUAUUUUUAAAGCUUGCUUUUUUAAUAACUUAGUGGCGGACGGGUGAGUAACGCGUGGGUAACCUGCCGUAUACAGGGGGAUAACACUUAGGAAUAGGUGCUAAUACCGCAUAAGCGCACAGGACCGCAUGGUUCGGUGUGAAAAACUCCGGUGGUAUACGAUGGACCCGCGUCUGAUUAGAUAGUUGGUGAGGUAACGGCCCACCAAGUCAACGAUCAGUAGCCGGCCUGAGAGGGUGAACGGCCACAUUGGGACUGAGACACGGCCCAAACUCCUACGGGAGGCAGCAGUGGGGAAUAUUGGACAAUGGGGGAAACCCUGAUCCAGCGACGCCGCGUGAGUGAAGAAGUAUUUCGGUAUGUAAAGCUCUAUCAGCAGGGAAGAUAAUGACGGUACCUGACUAAGAAGCUCCGGCUAAAUACGUGCCAGCAGCCGCGGUAAUACGUAUGGAGCAAGCGUUAUCCGGAUUUACUGGGUGUAAAGGGAGCGUAGACGGCAUGGCAAGUCUGAUGUGAAAAUCCCGGGCUCAACCCGGAAACUGCAUUGGAAACUGUUAAGCUAGAGUGCAGGAGAGGUAAGUGGAAUUCCUAGUGUAGCGGUGAAAUGCGUAGAUAUUAGGAGGAACACCAGUGGCGAAGGCGGCUUGCUGGACGACAACUGACGCUGAGGCGCGAAAGCGUGGGGAGCAAACAGGAUUAGAUACCCUGGUAGUCCACGCUGUAAACGAUGAAUACUAGGUGUGGGAGGACUGACCCCUUCCGUGCCGCAGUUAACACAAUAAGUAUUCCACCUGGGGAGUACGACCGCAAGGUUGAAACUCAAAGGAAUUGACGGGGGCCCGCACAAGCAGUGGAUUAUGUGGUUUAAUUCGACGCAACGCGAAGAACCUUACCAGGACUUGACAUCCAACUAACGAGGCAGAGAUGCGUUAGGUGCCCUUCGGGGAAAGUUGAGACAGGUGGUGCAUGGUUGUCGACAGCUCGUGUCGUGAGAUGUUGGGUUAAGUCCCGCAACGAGCGCAACCCCUAUUGUUAGUUGCUACGCAAGAGCACUCUAGCGAGACUGCCGUGGAUAACACGGAGGAAGGUGGGGAUGACGUCAAAUCAUCAUGCCCCUUAUGUCUUGGGCUACACACGUGCUACAAUGGCUGGCAACAGAGUGAAGCGAGACGGUGACGUUAAGCAAAACACAAAAACCCAGUCUCAGUUCGGAUUGUAGUCUGCAACUCGACUACAUGAAGCUGGAAUCGCUAGUAAUCGCGAAUCAGAAUGUCGCGGUGAAUACGUUCCCGGGCCUUGUACACACCGCCCGUCA
rnacentral:rRNA from 1 species